rnacentral:piRNA from 1 species
UGAGGUAUGUGAAACACUAGAGGUCAA